AUGCAAUCAUUCAUGUUCUCUUUUGAAGGUAAAGGAAUACAGUACAUCACAUUACAGACUGAAAUUCUCAUCAGGCAGUUGUGUGAAGACCUACUUCUGUUUCCAGUUCUUUUAUUGAAGAAUCCCACUGAAAAGUACCAUAUUUUGAAUGAAAGGUUAAUCCUAUCCUUCAACCAGCAAAGAAGAAUCUAUCUUUCUUGCUGGGGGGACUCAAACAAUCUCUGGACAUUGUUGGAAACUGUGAAGAGAGAAAAAGAAAAUAUAUAGACAAGUUCUAGAAAAUUCUACCCAAAAGUGACACAACUUAAUUCUGCCACAUCUUACUGACCAACGUCACAUCUUAUGGACCUCAGGGUGGCAGGUUCAUGUAAUACUGAUCCAUAAAACAACAGUUAUGUGAUCCAACACAUGACUCAAUACUCACAUUUCCUAUAAACCUGAGAAGUGCUAAAGGAAACUAUACUACUAUCAUUUUUCAAUGUGCUUCAGAAAAACCAUGGUGGCAUGUAUUGUUUUAAAUCUAUAGUAAAGGUGGACUUGGCGCUAGUGGCAAAGGGAGCUGUGGUUUGGAUUCAUCUUGGAACAUCUCCCGGCAGCAGAAUUUUGUUUAUCUUUCAGUGUUGAUUCCUCAAGGUGGAAAUAGAAAAGGCACAGACCAAGCAUUGUUAGAAGACAUGGCAGUGCUUCCCAUAUAUUUCAUUGUUUUAUUGAGUUUUAUUUGGUGCCCCUGUUUUCCUUAAAUAUCAAGUAUGUUUAACUUCUUACUGUUCUUGGAAUAAAAACUGCACAAUUUAACCAGAGGAGCAGCUUAGAGAUUAUUGAAAGCCGCACUCUCCGGGGCAGGCAUGGCAUUCAAAUGUCUGUAGUUAAAAAUGGCAUGUUUCUUUUUUUCAUCUUCAUUUGUAAUUUCUUGUAAUGAGAAUUAAAUACUGAAAACAGAUAACACCUCAUGAACUUGUCAAAGUUUGGAAAAAGAUACUGAAGUUCAUAUUUUGCUACAUAUUGCAAUGUUUUUUAAAAUAUAUAUCUAAAUAAAGAAAUGCUUACUUAUCCAUCCAGAAACAUUCAACAUUUUUUCAAAAAAUAGCUUUCACCUGGAUUGGUAUUUUAAAAAUGUGACCCAGAGAGGCAUGCCCCUUUAUGAGCUGUGCAAUAUCAAGGGAAGAAAGAGGCACGAAACAUGUUCCUAGGUGCCAGGACCUUGCCGCUGCUUUCAACAAAGGAACUAAACUAGUUUUAUCUUUUUAAUUUUAUUUAGAUUGCUUAGGUUUUCAUUUAAAUAAAGGCACCAUGGCUGAAAACAACAGCAAAUCAAAACAAAGACAAAUUUUUAAAAAUAAUUGAAUGCCACCAAUCUAUAUGAUGGAAAGAACUUUCAAAGAAGAACUAUGUAUACAGAUUGUUCUCAAACUAGAAUGCUUUAGAUAAUGUUCCAUAGCAAGAAUGCUAUAUAAACAGGACUGAUAGAAGUAUUUUUCUGAUUAUUGAUUUUACAAUAUGCCAUUGAUUUAUUUAGAUAAAAGGUAAAGUCUUUUUAAAAUUUAUAUUUAUAAAAUUAGAGACAUAGCAAAAGUGUUGUUUGUUAAAAUAUUCAUUAAUUCUUUGGGGAACAUUUGAAAACAAAGUGAAUUUCCAAGUUAAGAUCUCAAUCUUUAAUAAUUAACAGGUUAAUAAAUUAUUAACUGACAUUACUAGGCACAGGUAAUUUUCAUGUAAAAAGAAAGUAGAAACAGUUUAAGAGGUCAAUGUAUCAACUUCUCCUGAUUUAGAACUCUAAAAGUUUCGUUAUUUAGGAUGUUUUUGUAUUUUUCAUGUAUAUUUGCUUUACAUUACCAAACCAUUUAUGGUAAUUACCUUAAUAAAGUUAAUUUUAAAAAUAUUAGUUUUAUAUUAUAUGACCAAUUUAUAUUUCUCAUUAUUUAAAAAGUUUGUAAUUAAUCCUAUUCCUUCAGAGAACAGAGCCCCUGAAAUGUGUUUUUACCUUUAAAUACAAGAUAACUUCUCUUUCAAAAUCUCAAAAAGAGGAGUAUUUAAUGGAAACUUCUAUCUUCCUUUCAGUUUAAAAAAAUUAUAAAAAAUGUGUUCAAAAUCAACUCCAAAAUAAUCUGUAAAGAUUCUGUCAGUCUAUCUGACAGAAAUAGCAACAACAUCCUGGGUUUAAGAAGGUAAGCCUACAUUUUUAGUUUCUGCUUAGUAUAUGAAAAGCUAAAAAGAGCAUUACUUCUAUCACCAAGGGUGGGAGUAGGGGGAGAAACAAACAAAUAUACUGCAAAAUUUAAAAAGCAGAGAGUCCUUAACAUAAGACUAUAUCUCGAUACUUUUAGUUCCUAUGGAACAAAGUGCAGCACAACUUACUAAGAAAACAAACCAAGGCCUGGGAUGCUGGCUCAUGCGUAUAAUCCCAACAUUUUUGGAGGUGGAGGCAGGUGGAUCACUUGAACCCAGGAGUCUGACAUCAGCCUGAGCAAAACAGUGAAACCCUAUCUCUACAAAAAUACAAAACUUAGCCGGGUAUAGUAAUGCAUGCCUGUAGGCCCAGCUACUGGGGAGGCUGAGGUGGGAGCCUGGGAGUUCAGGGUUGUAGAAAACUGUGAUCUGAAAACUGAAGUUCAGGGCACUUCAGCCUGGGCAACAGAUUGAGACCUUGUUUCAAAAAAAAAAAAAAAAAAAGACAAAAGAAAGGAAGGAAAGGAAAGGGAAAGAGGAAAAGGAAGGGGAAAAAGGAGGAAAGAAGGCAGGCAGGCAAAACCAAACUUAUUAGUAUACUUUUGUAACAAACUGUUGGUUUUCAGCCAAACACAACAGCUAAACUUCAGGUAAUCACAGGUAGCCAAGGAUCAGAUCACGCUCAAAUAAAGCAAAUGCUCAUCACACCAUACCCAGAUAAGGACGACACCUAAUUUUAGCCUAUCAAUUUCUCUUUCUUAUUUCUUUGCUUGGCCUAUAAAAGCUUGCUGCUCAUGCUGCUGGGUGAAACUUUCCUAAGCUCCUCUGGUUCUGAAUGCUUUUCAAUUAAUGAAUCAUUCUUGGUUCAAGCAAACUGUCAAAUUUGUCUAAAGGUUUUCUUAUUGCAUUACAAAGAUCAUGUAUUGACUUGAGCUUAUUAGAGACCUAAAGUCACAGGGCAACCCAUUAGUUUGAAAUCUAAGGAAAGACAAAAGUCUUAAAGGAGAGACAGACAAGAGCUUCCCUGCAGCAGACUAUAAGAUGAAAAGAAGUCCAGCUUAAAAGAGGGUCUGGUGAUUUUAGCUACAGUUUUAAGAACUUUGGAAAGGUCCAGUGACAAAUUACUAGAUGAGAGUGAGAAAUCAGAAACCCUGAAAGUUGUGAAGGGAAUUUGAACUUACUAAAAAUUUCUUCUUCACUGGCCUCCAUGGGGGUUCACGUGAGACAUUGAGAGCAGGGCUGGAUACCAAAGAAGCUUCCUAGAGUGUUGCAGGCAUGUUAGAAAACAGUAGCUGCUCCUACAG
ensembl:lncRNA